GACGGACGCUGGCGGCGUGCUUAACACAUGCAAGUCGAACGGAAAGGCCCUGCUUUUGUGGGGUGCUCGAGUGGCGAACGGGUGAGUAACACGUGAGUAACCUGCCCUUGACUUUGGGAUAACUUCAGGAAACUGGGGCUAAUACCGGAUAGGAGCUCCUGCUGCAUGGUGGGGGUUGGAAAGUUUCGGCGGUUGGGGAUGGACUCGCGGCUUAUCAGCUUGUUGGUGGGGUAGUGGCUUACCAAGGCUUUGACGGGUAGCCGGCCUGAGAGGGUGACCGGCCACAUUGGGACUGAGAUACGGCCCAGACUCCUACGGGAGGCAGCAGUGGGGAAUAUUGCACAAUGGGCGGAAGCCUGAUGCAGCAACGCCGCGUGCGGGAUGACGGCCCUCGGGUUGUAAACCGCUUUCGCCUGUGACGAAGCGUGAGUGACGGUAAUGGGUAAAGAAGCACCGGCUAACUACGUGCCAGCAGCCGCGGUGAUACGUAGGGUGCGAGCGUUGUCCGGAUUUAUUGGGCGUAAAGGGCUCGUAGGUGGUUGAUCGCGUCGGAAGUGUAAUCUUGGGGCUUAACCCUGAGCGUGCUUUCGAUACGGGUUGACUUGAGGAAGGUAGGGGAGAAUGGAAUUCCUGGUGGAGCGGUGGAAUGCGCAGAUAUCAGGAGGAACACCAGUGGCGAAGGCGGCUCUCUGGGCCUUUCCUGACGCUGAGGAGCGAAAGCGUGGGGAGCGAACAGGCUUAGAUACCCUGGUAGUCCACGCUGUAAACGGUGGGUACUAGGUGUGGGGUCCAUUCCACGGGUUCCGUGCCGUAGCUAACGCUUUAAGUACCCCGCCUGGGGAGUACGGCCGCAAGGCUAAAACUCAAAGGAAUUGACGGGGCCCCGCACAAGCGGCGGAGCAUGCGGAUUAAUUCGAUGCAACGCGUAGAACCUUACCUGGGUUUGACAUGGAUCGGGAGUGCUCAGAGAUGGGUGUGCCUCUUUUGGGGUCGGUUCACAGGUGGUGCAUGGCUGUCGUCAGCUCGUGUCGUGAGAUGUUGGGUUAAGUCCCGCAACGAGCGCAACCCUUGUUCACUGUUGCCAGCACGUUAUGGUGGGGACUCAGUGGAGACCGCCGGGGUCAACUCGGAGGAAGGUGGGGAUGACGUCAAGUCAUCAUGCCCCUUAUGUCCAGGGCUUCACGCAUGCUACAAUGGCUGGUACAGAGAGUGGCGAGCCUGUGAGGGUGAGCGAAUCUCGGAAAGCCGGUCUCAGUUCGGAUUGGGGUCUGCAACUCGACCUCAUGAAGUCGGAGUCGCUAGUAAUCGCAGAUCAGCAACGCUGCGGUGAAUACGUUCCCGGGGCU
rnacentral:rRNA from 1 species